rnacentral:rRNA from 1 species
UACAGGGGGGGCAAGCGUUGUUCGGAAUUACUGGGCGUAAAGGGUUCGUAGGUGGCCAACUAAGUCAGACGUGAAAUCCCUCAGCUUAACUGGGGAACUGCGUCUGGAACUGGUUGGCUUGAGUGCAGGAGAGGAAUGCGGAAUUCCAGGUGUAGCGGUGAAAUGCGUAGAUAUCUGGAGGAACACCGGUGGCGAAGGCGGCCAUCUGGACAGUGACUGACGCUGAGACGCGAAAGCGUAGGGAGCAAACCGG